rnacentral:rRNA from 1 species
UACGGAGGGGGCGAGCGUUAUUCGGAAUUAUUGGGCGUAAAGGGCGCGUAGGCGGCCCGGUAAGUCAAAGGUGAAAUCCCUCGGCUCAACUGAGGAACUGCCUUUGAAACUGUCGGGCUUGAGGCCGGGAGGGGGCAGCGGAAUUCCCAGUGUAGCGGUGAAAUGCGUAGAUAUUGGGAGGAACACCAGUGGCGAAGGCGGCUACCUGGACCGGUUCUGACGCUGAUGCGCGAAAGCGUGGGUAGCAAACAGG